rnacentral:rRNA from 1 species
GGGUUGUGAGGUUAAGCGACUAAGCGUACACGGUGGAUGCCCUGGCAGUCAGAGGCGAUGAAGGACGUGCUAAUCUGCGAUAAGCGUCGGUAAGGUGAUAUGAACCGUUAUAACCGGCGAUUUCCGAAUGGGGAAACCCAGUGUGAUUCGUCACACUAUCAUUAACUGAAUCCAUAGGUUAAUGAGGCGAACCGGGGGAACUGAAACAUCUAAGUACCCCGAGGAAAAGAAAUCAACCGAGAUUCCCCCAGUAGCGGCGAGCGAACGGGGAGCAGCCCAGAGCCUGAAUCAGUGUGUGUGUUAGUGGAAGCGUCUGGAAAGGCGCGCGAUACAGGGUGACAGCCCCGUACACAAAAAUGCACAUGCUGUGAGCUCGAUGAGUAGGGCGGGACACGUGGUAUCCUGUCUGAAUAUGGGGGGACCAUCCUCCAAGGCUAAAUACUCCUGACUGACCGAUAGUGAACCAGUACCGUGAGGGAAAGGCGAAAAGAACCCCGGCGAGGGGAGUGAAAAAGAACCUGAAACCGUGUACGUACAAGCAGUGGGAGCACGCUUAGGCGUGUGACUGCGUACCUUUUGUAUAAUGGGUCAGCGACUUAUAUUCUGUAGCAAGGUUAACCGAAUAGGGGAGCCGAAGGGAAACCGAGUCUUAACUGGGCGUUAAGUUGCAGGGUAUAGACCCGAAACCCGGUGAUCUAGCCAUGGGCAGGUUGAAGGUUGGGUAACACUAACUGGAGGACCGAACCGACUAAUGUUGAAAAAUUAGCGGAUGACUUGUGGCUGGGGGUGAAAGGCCAAUCAAACCGGGAGAUAGCUGGUUCUCCCCGAAAGCUAUUUAGGUAGCGCCUCGUGAAUUCAUCUCCGGGGGUAGAGCACUGUUUCGGCAAGGGGGUCAUCCCGACUUACCAACCCGAUGCAAACUGCGAAUACCGGAGAAUGUUAUCACGGGAGACACACGGCGGGUGCUAACGUCCGUCGUGAAGAGGGAAACAACCCAGACCGCCAGCUAAGGUCCCAAAGUCAUGGUUAAGUGGGAAACGAUGUGGGAAGGCCCAGACAGCCAGGAUGUUGGCUUAGAAGCAGCCAUCAUUUAAAGAAAGCGUAAUAGCUCACUGGUCGAGUCGGCCUGCGCGGAAGAUGUAACGGGGCUAAACCAUGCACCGAAGCUGCGGCAGCGACGCUGAUGCGUUGUUGGGUAGGGGAGCGUUCUGUAAGCCUGCGAAGGUGUGCUGUGAGGCAUGCUGGAGGUAUCAGAAGUGCGAAUGCUGACAUAAGUAACGAUAAAGCGGGUGAAAAGCCCGCUCGCCGGAAGACCAAGGGUUCCUGUCCAACGUUAAUCGGGGCAGGGUGAGUCGACCCCUAAGGCGAGGCCGAAAGGCGUAGUCGAUGGGAAACAGGUUAAUAUUCCUGUACUUGGUGUUACUGCGAAGGGGGGACGGAGAAGGCUAUGUUGGCCGGGCGACGGUUGUCCCGGUUUAAGCGUGUAGGCUGGUUUUCCAGGCAAAUCCGGAAAAUCAAGGCUGAGGCGUGAUGACGAGGCACUACGGUGCUGAAGCAACAAAUGCCCUGCUUCCAGGAAAAGCCUCUAAGCAUCAGGUAACAUCAAAUCGUACCCCAAACCGACACAGGUGGUCAGGUAGAGAAUACCAAGGCGCUUGAGAGAACUCGGGUGAAGGAACUAGGCAAAAUGGUGCCGUAACUUCGGGAGAAGGCACGCUGAUAUGUAGGUGAAGCGACUUGCUCGUGGAGCUGAAAUCAGUCGAAGAUACCAGCUGGCUGCAACUGUUUAUUAAAAACACAGCACUGUGCAAACACGAAAGUGGACGUAUACGGUGUGACGCCUGCCCGGUGCCGGAAGGUUAAUUGAUGGGGUCAGCGCAAGCGAAGCUCUUGAUCGAAGCCCCGGUAAACGGCGGCCGUAACUAUAACGGUCCUAAGGUAGCGAAAUUCCUUGUCGGGUAAGUUCCGACCUGCACGAAUGGCGUAAUGAUGGCCAGGCUGUCUCCACCCGAGACUCAGUGAAAUUGAACUCGCUGUGAAGAUGCAGUGUACCCGCGGCAAGACGGAAAGACCCCGUGAACCUUUACUAUAGCUUGACACUGAACAUUGAGCCUUGAUGUGUAGGAUAGGUGGGAGGCUUUGAAGUGUGGACGCCAGUCUGCAUGGAGCCGACCUUGAAAUACCACCCUUUAAUGUUUGAUGUUCUAACGU